UCCUCGCGAUGUCCACGUCGGACUAGCUACCAGCCAAAAAGGUUUGCUUCAUCGAGAAGAAAGAGAGAAAGAGGUUGGCCUCGAGCAAGAGGGAGGAAGUUGCCUCGAGCCCACCCCUUCCUUAUCCUUUCCUCCAAAAUUUCACAUCGCACGCAACCUUCUCUCGUGACGCCGCCGCCUCCUCUUCUCUCCCCCGAUUCUCCUUCGCCUGUUCCGAGCCCCUCCUCUUCUCUGUGCCGGCUGCUCGACGCGCCGUGCCACCGCUGCGGGAGAAGGUGAACACGAGGAGAUGCAGGGUGGGUGGCCUUGCCGGAAGAGGGUGACGCCGGAAACCACCCGCUGGCCAAGGACCGCGUGGGCUGGCACUUCCCCGCGGCGCCCUCCUUCCCCGACUUCGCGACGGAACCAGAGUCACUCGAGGCCGGGGUGCGAGAUGAUCUGUUAGUUGGAUUUGGAUUUGGAUCCAAAAGAGUCACUCGAGGCCGGCUGGCUGAGGGGGCGGAUCUGGAUCCAAGCGGCCCCUCGUGUGUUUGAUCUGUUAGUUGACAUGAUCUUAUUUCCUCUCAUCUCCCCUCUCUUCUCUCACUGACCCUUCUGGUCUCAUUUCUGCUGGUAGAGCGGCCAGAGGAGCAGGCCAACAUCCCUCUUUACCUCCCACCCAACACCAACGUGGUGAGCUUCCCCUCUCCACCAUGUACCCCUAGAUCUGAACAUCAACUGCAGUUUGUACGUUUUGGUUAUACUCUAUUUCAGUUUAUACAAAUCUCGUUUUGGUUAAACUUCUGUCUUAGAUGCCAUUGCUGAAACUAGAGCAAACAGGACACAUAAAACCUACAGCGAAAGGAUUACACACUUUUAUCAGGUGUUAAGUUCAGCUUCCUUGACCAUGGCAGUGCUAAGUAAAUUUAUAAUUGGAUUCUGCUGAUAUGUGGAUAGGUAGCCUAACUGGUGAUGGUUAGCCUCACCCUGUUGAAUCUGAUCGGGUAAUGUGAGAACCAAAAUGAAUUUAUUUUGCUCCGUUUCUUACAAGCACUGGUCUUAAGUAGAUGCCACAAGCUCAUCUUCAAUGGUGGAUUUUAUUAUGUCGUGCCUAUUAAGCAGCCAAAGAUCAGAUAUUUGACUCCAUCACUAAUAGUAAGAUGCACACAAAAAAUAUCUGCACCCAGUCAUUCUCAUUCACUGAAGCUUGGUUCUUUGUUAUAUGAAUCAGUUAGAUUUCUACAAAAGCGAUUCUUGUUGCUAGGUGCAUCAUCGUCAAGGAUGUGUUUUCCCCACUUGGGAGCAACAUCUAGAAUAUAUUUUCCUAUGAACGCGCGAGAUUGCCUAUGUGCUGUUAGAUUUGAUCUUCAGAAUAUUUGCAAGUGAUGUCUUUCUGCACUGUAUUCAGUUCAAUAGAAUAGCACUGCACCCCUAAUUCAAGAAUGCAAUUUUAGAGUUAUACUAAGAACAGUACAUGUGCAAGGCGAAUUGAAAUUGAAAUUUCGCAUGUACACCUGCAAAAAGGAGAUGACCUGCAUGAGUGCAAAGGCUAAGGUGAGGUAUGUGCAAUCUUGAUGUACCACCAUGUAAGAAAACUGGAGUGUCUGCAUAAUUUUUCCUAUGGAACUAUCAUGGAAACCAGAUGCUUAUUCUUGAAAUGGUUGCUCAUAUCAAAGAAGAGGCUUCCUUUGGCGCCGUUUUGGGGUUCUUACCCGAGUUCUGUUCUAAUUACUAGAUGAUGUUGUCUUGAUGCUGUUCUUCCCAGAUGAUGGCAAUAUGACAUUGACAAGUGUAGUGGUUCGGUUUGGAGAAAGAGAGAAUAAAGUAUCCCUAUACAUCAGUACAUGUGGCUACUAAUGUAAGAAUACAAAAAGUCGCUUCAGUAGCUUUCACAGGUUCAUCAAGGAGUUGGUUGUUCAAGCUGAAUCCCUCCACACCCAAAUGAUAAAGCUUGUUUUUUUAAUGACCAAGCUAAUUUAGGAAACGUUGCUAACCCAGGCUAAGAAAUUAGUUCUCAGAUGAGGUGUCAUAUGCCAGCAGUAGUUGUUUUAUGAGUCUACCCAAGUGUCAGAGUAACUAUCUUGCUUUUAAUUGUGAUGCCGAUUAUUUACAUUUCAGAGCUCAUUUCUUAUAUAUGACUUCUUGUGUGUAUCAUGAUAGAUUGUAUACAACUGAUCUUAGCUCAUUUUAUUAUUCAGAGACUUCCAACUAAUUAUCAUAUGCUAAUCAUUCUCUUUCCUUUUUAUUUCCUUUCCAUUUGCCAAUUAGAUAGGUUCAUUAGAAAUCCAACUGUCAAUGAGAAUGCCAUGAACCUCAUUUUUGGUUCAAUAAAUCGUUCAACUUCUUUUAUAUAUUUGCAUGUGGAAACAGCAUAUGUUAAUUUUCCAUUUAUGUUUCAACAUACACAUGUGCACACAUUUGUACUGAUUAAUUGUUCGUGAAACGAUCUGCCGACAUACUCACAUGAUACUUUUAGUUUUGUUGUCUUAUUAUUUCCCUUUUUCUCUGCUCUCUAUUUUUUCAUCUUGCUUCACUUUCGAUCAAUCGUCGCAGCAAUUGCUUCUUACCGAUUUUUUUUUUUUUCUCAAAUGCACAGCGCAACGAAGAUGACCUUCCAAAGUACAUCAUAUGUGGUAUGUACAUUCCUGUGCCCGACGCGCUGGACUGGAGGCCGAGCGGCGCCGUCACCAUGGUCAAGCACCAGGGCAAGCGUGGUGCUUGUUGGAGCUUCCAGCUACAGGUGCCAUGGAAGGAAUAAACAUGAUCACAACGGGCUCUCUUCUCAUCCUUCCUGAGUAGAAACUAAUCGGCUGUGACAGAUCCCACAAUGCUGGUUGUGGCCGGUAGGCUCAUGAACUAUGCUUAUAAGUUUGUGAUUAAUAAUGGUGGGAGUGACACGAAGGAUGACUACCCGUUUGGUGAAUCAGAUG